GUGUCAGCCGCCGCGGUAAGACGAGCCUCACAAACGUUAUUCGGAAUUACUGGGCUUAAAGGGUGCGCAGGCGGCGUAGAAAGUUGGGUGUGAAAUCCCUCAGCUUAACUGAGGAAGGGCGCCCAAAACUACUAUGCUCGAGGGAGAUAGAGGAGUGCGGAACUUAGGGUGGAGCGGUGAAAUGCGUUGAUAUCCUAGGGAACACCGGUGGCGAAAGCGGCACUCUGGAUCUCUUCUGACGCUGAGGCACGAAAGCUAGGGUAGCAAACGGGAUUAGAUACCCCAGUAGUCC
rnacentral:rRNA from 1 species